ensembl:lncRNA
GCAACGAUAAGAGUGGGACGUCUCAUUCUCCGCCAAAGAAGAGACAAGCACUGACUGGGUCACCAACCAGCGCCUGGACCAUGCACGGAUAGUUCUUCCACCUGUGUGCCAUCAACGGACACGUCCCCAUUAACAUAACCAAGCUAUUUGGUCCAACGGAUACUUAUUUUUUUGUGAGCAUCUGAUGACCUAAUGUGUUAACUUACUUUAAAUAAAUAAGAUGUGGAACCCAGAUCACGCUGCAAGUUGGUCCGAGUAUGCUUCCAAUGACGAUCGCGACUGAAUAUCCCACCACAACAGGACCAAGCAGCGUGCCCAGGAGGAGAAGGUAUCCUGGACUUGGGAGGAGAUAUUGGAUGGGAAGGGAUCCUGGACUUGGGAGGAAAUCAUGGC